rnacentral:rRNA from 1 species
UACGAAGGGGGCUAGCGUUGCUCGGAAUUACUGGGCGUAAAGCGUGCGCAGGCGGUCUGCUAAGAGAGAUGUGAAAUCCCCGGGCUUAACCUGGGAACUGCGUUUCUAACUGGCAGGCUUGAGUGUGGCAGAGGGGGGUGGAAUUCCACGUGUAGCAGUGAAAUGCGUAGAGAUGUGGAGGAACACCGAUGGCGAAGGCAGCCCCCUGGGCUAACACUGACGCUCAGGCACGAAAGCGUGGGGAGCAAACAGG